GGGUUUAAAGGGUCCGUAGGUGGUCCAUUAAGUCAGAGGUGAAAGCCUAUCGCUCAACGAUAGAACUGCCUUUGAUACUGAUAGACUUGAGUUAUUGUGAAGUAGUUAGAAUAUGUAGUGUAGCGGUGAAAUGCAUAGAUAUUACAUAGAAUACCGAUUGCGAAGGCAGAUUACUAACAAUACACUGACACUGAGGGACGAAAGCGUGGGUAGCGAACAGGAUUAGAUACCCUGGUAGUCCACGCCGUAAACGAUGGAUACUAGCUGUAUGUCUACUUCAGGUAGAUGUGUGGCUAAGCGAAAGUGAUAAGUAUCCCACCUGGGGAGUACGAUCGCAAGAUUGAAACUCAAAGGAAUUGACGGGGGCCCGCACAAGCGGUGGAGCAUGUGGUUUAAUUCGAUGAUACGCGAGGAACCUUACCAGGGCUUAAAUGUAACGGGACAGAUCUAGAGAUAGAUCCUUCUUCGGACUCAUUACAAGGUGCUGCAUGGUU
rnacentral:rRNA from 1 species